rnacentral:rRNA from 1 species
AACGAGCGCUGGCGGCAGGCUUAACACAUGCAAGUCGAACGCGUGCAGCAAUGCACGAGUGGCGCACGGGUGAGUAACGAGUGGAUAUCUGCCUUUUGGUUCGGAAUAACCCCGGGAAACUGGGGCUAAUACCGGAUGGUUCCUACGGGAUAAAGAUUUAUCGCCAAAAGAUGAGUCCGCGUCCGAUUAGCUAGUUGGUGAGGUAAUGGCUCACCAAGGCGACGAUCGGUAGCUGGUCUGAGAGGACGAUCAGCCACACUGGGACUGAGACACGGCCCAGACUCCUACGGGAGGCAGCAGUGGGGAAUAUUGGACAAUGGGGGCAACCCUGAUCCAGCCAUGCCGCGUGAGUGAUGAAGGCCUUCGGGUUGUAAAGCUCUUUUGGCGGGGACGAUGAUGACGGUACCCGCAGAAUAAGCCCCGGCUAACUUCGUG